rnacentral:lncRNA from 1 species
UGUCUCGUGACAUAGGGACAAGGUUGAAUUAAGGGUACUAUACUUACCACGAGUGCAUUAUAUAUUUUUAAUAGCUUAGAAGUUAUACCCAACAUUUAUACCAGGAGGCCUUCUAGUUGAACCCUAAAAUUACAAAGAUGUUUGAGUGAUUACAAUAGAUUGGAAUAAGAGUUGGAUAUGGCACCAAAAAGGCUUACAGAAGUGGCUUGAUUUAUCAACUAAAUAAAAAUUAAGAAAAGUUGUUUUAUGUAAUCAAGGUUAUAUUAAAAGCUACCUUUGUAAAACAUGGAAUUUAUUCCAUCUAUUUAAAUAAAAUCCGGUGU